AGGGCCGCAGUAAUUUGACUGUGCGAAGGUAGCAUAAUCAUUAGUCUUUUAAUUGGAGGCUUGUAUGAAUGGUUGGAUGAGGGAUGAACUGUCUUGUGUGUAUUGUUUGAAUUUAACUUUUAAGUGAAAAGGCUUAGAUUAUUUAGGGGGACGAUAAGACCCUAUAAAACUUAAUAUUGAUGUUUAUAAAUUAUGGAUAAAGUUUAAAAUGAUUUUUAGGUUUUAAUAUUUCAUUGGGGCGAUGAAGAUAUAAUAGUUAACUGUUUUGUAAAUUAAAUAAUAAUUAUUAGAUAAUGAUCCUAUAUUAUGGAUUAUAAGAUCAAGUUACUUUAGGGAUAACAGCGUAAUUUUCUUUGAGAGUUCUUAUCGACAAGAGUAGUUGCGACCUCGAUGUUGAAUUAAAAUUUCAGCUGGGUGAAGCAGCUCAGCUAGUAGGUCUGUUCGACCUUUAAAAUUUU
rnacentral:rRNA from 1 species